rnacentral:rRNA from 1 species
UACGUAGGGUGCAAGCGUUGUUCGGAAUUACUGGGCGUAAAGGGCUCGUAGGCGGCCAACUAAGUCAGACGUGAAAUCCCUCGGCUUAACCGGGGAACUGCGUCUGAUACUGGAUGGCUAGAGAUUGGGAGAGGGAUGCGGAAUUCCAGGUGUAGCGGUGAAAUGCGUAGAUAUCUGGAGGAACACCGGUGGCGAAGGCGGCAUCCUGGACCAACACUGACACUGAAGAGCGAAAGCCAGGGGAGCAAACGGG